AUGACACUGGAUGAUGUGAUUGGGUCAGAUUUAGCCCAGGAAAUUCCCCGGGCCUAUAAAUGCAGAGAUGCGUUGGUUUGAGAAACCAAGAACUUCGAUAUUGGAAAUCCAUCCCGCACUCUUGCGGGCGGCAGAGACACGUGUAGAGCUGUAUGGAUUUUCAACGAAGUGUUUGGCCGAUGUUAUAACAACAGUUAUUCACAUGUAAUCCAAUUCUGGAUUAAACUGAACGGGGCUUAUGUUCCAGUGUCU
rnacentral:RNase_MRP_RNA from 1 species